rnacentral:rRNA from 1 species
UCGAUCUCAAAUCAGGCGGGACUACCCGCUGAACUUAAGCAUAUCAAUAAGCGGAGGAAAAGAAACUAACAAGGAUUCCCCUAGUAACUGCGAGUGAAGCGGGAAAAGCU